AAAACCCUCAUUUCAGCUUCUGUCUGAACCACUUAAUUUCAGGACCAUAUUUUAAAGCCCCCCCCUUACAAGCCCUCUUUCUUGCAAUUGGCUGGCCCUCUGGAAGCUUCUCCACUGUUGCCAUGCUACAAAAUCAUCAUCACCGAGUUAACCCGUGUUUCUCUUUUCAAAAUGACAAACUAUGAAAUACGGCUUUAUGUUUUUGACCCAAAUCUGACCCUGAAGUUUGGAAAAGGAGCAACAAGAUAAUCUCCAGCAACAAAGAACAGAGCAGAACGCUUCUGUUCGAGCAUUUGACAUCUGGGUGUCGUCAUCAGAAGUGGAGCUCUGGACUAAUAGGCCAUGUUCAAACACAUUGACAUGAGCUUUUACCCUAAAAGCAGAGAGAAGAGUGUAGCAGACUUGCUCUGGGAAUAGAGCUCUUGUUGUGCAUUUAAGACUUCUGCAGGAGACACAUACAAUGUUCCACAAUCUCAAACAACAUCUGUUGUUGUACACAUGAUAACAACUUCCAGCAUGUGUGUACGGUCCUGGUAAUAACAGUGCAAAGAUGACAUCAGCCGCUUCUGUCAACCAAUCGUGUCAUUGCAUGCAACACGGAUACAAUAUCAUGUCUGUGUCAGUUUCAGAGUUAGGGCUCCGCAAACUGACUAUCAAGAACAUAUUGACUCUACUAACGGAUGUUAGCUAAGCCCCUUCACACACUCGCCCACACAGCCUUUUGGGACAACAGACAAUCCUUUACAAAAGGCCAGACUAAUAAACUUCUCUUUCCCCCCAG